GUUUCCGCCUGCUGCUGAGGAUGCUGGAGAAGCGGAUGGACCGAGCGGAGAAUAAGGGUGAGCUUCAGACAGACAAGAUGAUGAGGGCAGCUGCCAAGGAUGUGCACAGGCUCCGAGGCCAGAGCUGUAAGGAACCCCCAGAAGUUCAGUCUUUCAGGAAAAGCUACAUGGAGCAAAUCCUCCUGCCUGAAGAAGUGCAUCUCAGCAUCACUUCAGCUGUCGGGGCGUUUGUGGGGAGAAUCAGACCACCUCCGCGGAAGGCAACAGACCCUCUUCCAGCCAUAGAGUUGAAUUCUCUAUAAAUGGUUCACCAGCAAACCACCAAUACAUUCCGUUGUUUGCCUAGAGAGAAAUUUAAAAAUAAAUAAAUGUUCAUUUAUAA
rnacentral:sRNA from 1 species